rnacentral:tRNA from 1 species
GCAUUGGUAGCUCAAUUGGAUAGAGCAUCGGCCUACGAAGCCGGAGGUUAAAGGUUCGAGUCCUUUCCAGUGCA